rnacentral:rRNA from 1 species
AUUGAACGCUAGCGGGAUGCCUUACACAUGCAAGUCGAACGGAGUGGCGAACGGGUGAGUAAUGUAUCGGAACGUGCCCAGUAGCGGGGGAUAACUACGCGAAAGCGUAGCUAAUACCGCAUACUAUUGGAGCGGCCGAUAUCGGAUUAGCUAGUAGGUGGGGUAACGGCUCACCUAGGCGACGAUCCCUAGCUGGUCUGAGAGGAUGACCAGCCACACUGCAGCGAGGACACGGAGCAGACUCCGACGGGAGGCAGCGUUGGGGAAUAUGGCACAAGGGGCGCAAGCCUGAUGCAGCCAAGCCGCGUGUAUGAAGAAGGCCUUCGGGUUGUAAAGGACUUUCAGCUAGGAGGCGUUACUCGCAGAAGAAGCACCGGCUAACUCCGUGCCAGCAGCCGCGAUAAUAC